rnacentral:rRNA from 1 species
CUCGUAGGCGGUCUGUCGCGUCUGGUGUGAAAACCUGAGGCUCAACCUUGGGCUGGCAUCGGGUACGGGCAGGCUAGAGUGCGGUAGGGGAGACUGGAAUUCCUGGUGUAGCGGUGGAAUGCGCAGAUAUCAGGAGGAACACCGAUGGCGAAGGCAGGUCUCUGGGCCGUUACUGACGCUGAGGAGCGAAAGCAUGGGGAGCGAACA